rfam:Bacillus sp. OV166 genome assembly, contig: Ga0115450_11
AACCCUUUUAAAUUUAGUCCUGUGAGGCUGACAAAGGGGAAUAUGCCAACAUGAGACUUCAUUAAGGCAUUUCCAUACCCUCUUUGUACCCUUACCGGCAAAGAGGGUUUUUUUUAU